GGGGUUGUGGCUCAGUGGUAGAGCACCUGUUAGCAUAGCAUAUAUGAGGCACUGGGUUCAAACCUCAGCACCACA
rnacentral:tRNA from 1 species